AGGCCCAAAGAGAGAGGCAGGGUCUGAUCCGCAGCCUCCGUGGCAGCUGUUGAUCAGCUGUUGCCUCUCUUUCUCUCGA
rfam:Myotis lucifugus cont2.7837, whole genome shotgun sequence.